AUGGACUGUUAUUCGUCCGUCGGAGCGUUAUUCGUCCGUCGGAGCGUUAAGAUGCUGCCUACAACAAACUGUGCUGCCACCUGAGUUACUUAAGAAUCGGCGGCGCGGAGCGUUAUUCGUCCGUCGUUUGUCGUUCGAAGGGGAUACUCAGGUAGGCUGAUCCAAAGGUGACGCUCAGGGAGGUUGAUCUGAAUGGGCGCUAUGGAAGAGGAUUGUGCGUUCUUAGCUCAAGCAAAACUCGUGUCACACGUAACGGGACGAAGAUAAUCUGCAAUACGACUAGAGAUAUAUCUCGGUGAGACAACAAAUUUUUUCGAACGAAAGGAUUCACCAUUAUUACUUGCCGGUCUCGUGUAGCAUGUUGCAGUUUAGUGCUACUUUCACAACCCAACACAUAGUUGAACGGAAUGUGAUAGUUUCAUAAAAAGUCGAUGACUAGUUCACGAAUUUUUCGUUCAAUACUUAUGCAACUAUCUCAUUCUUUUUUUGUAUAAAUUGAAUUUAUCUUCUCCAAUGCUUUAUUUGUUGCAAAUCAAUUCUCUCUAUAUGAACCCAAACAGAUACCUAAAUUAUAUCUCUCUGUAUAUGUUUGUCAAUCAAAGAUAUUUGAGGAAACUAACCGUUGUAACUCUGUGCAAGUAUUUUUGAGAUCUACUAGACAAUCUAAAUGUUAAAAGUUACCAUAAACUUUUCUUGGGGUGCAAAAG
rnacentral:sRNA from 1 species